rnacentral:lncRNA from 1 species
GGCAUCACCUCACUUGGAUUCAGAUUGUAAUCCGGAUCAAAAUCCACCGUUAAACGGCCUUCUCUCAUAGGCAAAGGGUGUGGAUCUAGAGGAUCUUGCCACACGCCCCAUCUCCUAUCUCCGGUCCGUCAUUAUCUUCGUUCCCAGAUCCUAAACCAAUGUUUGCUUCAUCCUCCCAUGACGGCAUUUGGGAUGCAAUCUGGUCCAUUUCAU